CGCCUGGAACGGUGAGUGGAUGAAAGCUCCGGCGGCAUAGGAUGGGCCUGCGGCGUAUCAGGUUGUAGGGGGUGUAACGUACCCUCUAGCCCUCUACGCGUACGGGUGUUGGGAGACAUAGCCCGGAGAUGGAUUCUGAGACACGAAUCCAGACCCUACGGGGUGCAGCAGGCGCGAAAACUUGGCAAUGCGAGAAAUCGUGACCAGGGAACUCCAAGUGCAUCGGGUAAGACCGGUGCUUUUCUUGACUCUAAAUAGGUCUUGGAAUAAGGGGUGGGUAAGGACGGUGCCAGCCGCCGCGGUAAUACCGGCGCCUCAAGUGGUAGUCGCUUUUAUUGGGCCUAAAACGUCCGUAGCCGGUCUGAUACAUUCGUGGGUAAAUCAACCAGCUUAACUGGUUGAAUUCUGCGAGGACGGUCAGACUUGGGACCGGGAGAGGUGUGGGGUACGCUCAGGGUAGGGGUAAAAUCCUGUCAUCCUGAGCGGACCACCUGUUGCGAAGGCGCCACACUAGAACGGAUCCGACGGUCAGGGACGAAGCCUAGGGGCACGAACCGGAUUAGAUACCCGGGUAGUCCUAGGUGUAAACGCUGUGGACUUGAUGUUGGGGGUGCUCCGAGCACUCUCAGUGUCGAAGCGAAGGUGAUAAGUCCACUGCCUGGGAAGUACGGUCGCAAGGCUGAAACUUAAAGGAAUUGGCGGGGGAGCACCGCAACCUGAGGAUUGUGCGGUUUAAUUGGACUCAACGCCGGAA
rnacentral:rRNA from 1 species